GACGAACGCUGGCGGCGUGCCUAAUACAUGCAAGUCGAGCGAAGUUUUUCUGGUGCUUGCACUAGAAAAACUUAGCGGCGAACGGGUGAGUACACGGUAAGAACCCGCCUCCUUGACUGGGACAACUAUUGGAAACGGUUGCUAAUACCGGAUAACAGUUUUUCCCGCAUGAGAGAUAUUUAAAAAUUGGUUUUGCUAACACUAUGAGAUGGCCUUGCGGUGCAUUAGCUAGUUGGUGGGGGAAAGGCCCACCAAGGCGACGAUGCAUAGCCGACCUGAGAGGGUGAUCGGCCACACUGGGACUGAGACACGGCCCAGACUCCUACGGGAGGCAGCAGUAGGGAAUCUUCCGCAAUGGGCGAAAGCCUGACGGAGCAACGCCGCGUGAGUGAAGAAGGAUUUCGGUUCGUAAAGCUCUGUUGUUAGGGAAGAAUGGAUAUGUAGUAACUAUACAUGUAAGAGACGGUACCUAACCAGAAAGCCACGGCUAACUACGUG
rnacentral:rRNA from 1 species